ACAGUGGACGCGAGCAUCUGUGGCCAAGUUUUUAAGGGCGCACGGUGGAUGCCUUGGCACCAGGAACCGAUGAAGGACGUGGGAGGCCGCGAUAGGCCCCGGGGAGCUGUCAACCGAGCUGUGAUCCGGGGGUGUCCGAAUGGGGAAACCCGGCAGUCGUCAUGGGCUGUCACCCAUACCUGAACACAUAGGGUAUGUGGAGGGAACGCGGGGAAGUGAAACAUCUCAGUACCCGCAGGAAGAGAAAACAACCGUGAUUCCGGGAGUAGUGGUGAGCGAAACCGGAUGAGGCCAAACC
rnacentral:rRNA from 1 species